rnacentral:rRNA from 1 species
GUGCCAGCAGCUGCGGCGGUAAUACGGAGGGUGCAAGCGUUAAUCGGAAUUACUGGGCGUAAAGCGCACGCAGGCGGUCUGUCAAGUCGGAUGUGAAAUCCCCGGGCUCAACCUGGGAACUGCAUUCGAAACUGGCAGGCUAGAGUCUCGUAGAGGGAGGUAGAAUUCCAGGUGUAGCGGUGAAAUGCGUAGAGAUCUGGAGGAAUACCGGUGGCGAAGGCGGCCUCCUGGACGAAGACUGACGCUCAGUGCGAAAGCGUGGGAGCAAACAGGAUUAGAUACCCUGGUAGUCCACGCCGUAAACGAU